AGGAUGAACGCUAGCUACAGGCUUAACACAUGCAAGUCGAGGGGUAAACGACAUCGAAAGCUUGGCUUUUGGUGGGCGUCGACCGGCGCACGGGUGAGUAACGCGUAUCCAACCUGCCCACACUUGGGGAUAACCCGUCGAAAGGCGGCCUAACACGAUAUGCGGUUCUCAGCAGGCAUCUAACGAGAACGAAAUGUGAAGGAGAAGGAUGGGGAUGCGUCUGAUUAGCUUGUUGGCGGGGUAACGGCCCACCAAGGCGACGAUCAGUAGGGGUUCUGAGAGGAAGGUCCCCCACAUUGGAACUGAGACACGGUCCAAACUCCUACGGGAGGCAGCAGUGAGGAAUAUUGGUCAAUGGACGGAGUCUGAACCAGCCAAGUAGCGUGCAGGAUGACGGCCCUAUGGGUUGUAAACUGCUUUUAUAGGGGGAUAAAGUGUGCCACGUGUGGCAUAUUGCAGGUACCCUAUGAAUAAGGACCGGCUAAUUCCGUG
rnacentral:rRNA from 1 species